CCGAGUUUACAACUCCCAAACCCCCGUGAACAUACCACUUGUUGCCUCGGCGGAUCAGCCCGCUCCCGGUAAAACGGGACGGCCCGCCAGAGGACCCCUAAACUCUGUUCCUAUAUGUAACUUCUGAGUAAAACCAUAAAUAAAUCA
rnacentral:misc_RNA from 1 species